UACGUAGGGUGCGAGCGUUGUCCGGAAUUAUUGGGCGUAAAGAGCUCGUAGGCGGUUUGUCGCGUCUGCUGUGAAAACUCGGGGCUUAACUCCGGGCCUGCAGUGGGUACGGGCAGACUAGAGUGCGGUAGGGGAGACUGGAAUUCCUGGUGUAGCGGUGAAAUGCGCAGAUAUCAGGAGGAACACCGAUGGCGAAGGCAGGUCUCUGGGCAUUAACUGACGCUGAGACGCGAAAGCGUGGGGAGCAAACAGG
rnacentral:rRNA from 1 species